rnacentral:rRNA from 1 species
GCAAGUCGAGCGCUACCUUCGGGUGGAGCGGCGGACGGGUUAGUAACGCGUGGGAAUAUGCCCUUCUCUAUGGAAUAGCCAUUGGAAACGAUGAGUAAUACCAUAUACGCCCUUCGGGGGAAAGAUUUAUCGGAGAAGGAUUAGCCCGCGUUAGAUUAGAUAGUUGGUGGGGUAACGGCCUACCAAGUCACCGAUCUAUAGCUGGUUUGAGAGGAUGAUC